rnacentral:rRNA from 1 species
UACUCCCUACGGGGCGCAGCAGUAGGGAAUCUUCCACAAUGGACGAAAGCCUGAUGGAGCAACGCCGCGUGGGUGAAGAAGGUCUUCGGAUCGUAAAACCCUGUUGUUAGAGAAGAAAGUGCGUGAGAGUAACUGUUCACGUUUCGACGGUAUCUAACCAGAAAGCCACGGCUAACUACGUGCCAGCAGCCGCGGUAAUACGUAGGUGGCAAGCGUUAUCCGGAUUUAUUGGGCGUAAAGGGAACGCAGGCGGUUUUUUCAGUCUGAUGUGAAAGCCUUCGGCCUAACCGGAGUAGGGCCUUGGG